CCUUUUGCCACUUGAUAAUUGAAACAUACAUCUUCCAAGAUCAUGCUUUUGAGAGCAACUUCUCAGUCUAUACUAUAUUUGUUUCAGUUUCAUUGCUUCAGUUGUCCAAAGUUGGUGAUUCUUCAACAUAUUUGUAAUAGAGGUAUUUGACAUGUGUGUUGAUGUGAGGUUAAUUUCAUUAUAAUUUUCCUGUCAUCUAAACCUUUGUAAAUGAUUUUUCAUUUGACUAAAUUAUUGGUUUUAAGUGCAUCAUCAUCAUAUUUUUACUUCUGUUUUAUUAUAUUUUAACAAUUUAUCAUUGCUCUGGGAUAAUAUAUGGUUACAAGAAAGUUUUUUGAUUUGUCUAAUAGAAUAAGUUGUAUUAGUUGAUACUGACUUAAACUUCUUGAAGUUGUUUUGUCAUAAGCAAUUUGUAAUUCGACUUCUUUACACAGUUUAACUAAUACUGUCACAUGCACAUGUAUCAGUGUUAGGCUGCCAUUGUGUGCUUGUGUGAAUGUUGAAAGAACUCAAAACUUCACAGUUACAUCUCUGUUGGUUUUUGUAGGCACUAAAGUAAGCAUUUUUAUAAGCUACGAAUGCGAAUCACACUUUUGAUUGUUUGUUACUAGAAAAAUCCAGGUUUUGUAAAUUAUAUUUUUCAUCUGGGUUGCAUGUGACAUGUUAAUAUAUAUCAUCUUUUUUUUAUAAGAUGUCUAUGUUACACCAUGUAAUUUCACAUUUUUUUUUUUCAAAAUUGCUUCAUAGUGUAUAAUAUUGUGAACUAUAUGAGUCUCCAAUAUCUUCCUUCUAGAAACUCCCUUUGUACAUAUUUUGCUAUUUUUUAUGGCUGAGAGCCUGCCAUUGUGUUUUAGUUCAUAUUACUGGACAUUUAUUCCAUAUGGCCUUCGUCUGCUCAGUAACUGGUGAAAUAGUAUAUUUUUUGAAACAAUGAGGCAACUAAACCUGUGUACCACAGAUAUGGACUCCAUAGAGCAAUUGUUAGUACGACAAGAAGUGAGUAUACAAAGCAUUGGGCUGCGAUUAAUGAUAUAUACUGUAUCAUUACUGUUUUGGUAUGACAAUGGAGUGUCUCAGUCACUCAGGAUACUUGGUGCUUAUAUAUCAGAGUAAACUACAGAGGCUGCUCCCUGAUUGGAGUACAGGAAUCAGUAAGUCUUCCUCUCCUUGCCUGUUGUGAUUACUUCUGAAUCCUCAUUUUGAUGCUUAUUUAUACCAUUACUUUCUCCACUAUGGAUGGUUGUUGCAUUGCUCAAAUUAGAGGUCUGGUAUUUGGGUGAUCACAACUUUGAAAUCCUUAAAGUUGGAAAUCAAUCAGCACUUUAUGGGAGUUUGCCUUAAAUAUAUACCUGACUUAGGAUUUUAUCUGCAUCAUCUCAUUUCCAACAAAUGCCUCGGGCAUUGUCAUCAUGGACAUUGUAAGGUUUGAUAUACUUUAGAGAAUAUUUCAUAUACACUAAUGGUGCUGUGAGUUAUGUGCAUUUUUUUUUUCUUUGACACCUUUGAUAUAGAUGUGAGAGGCUCUGGAUGAUGUAUCUGCUUGGCUUUUUUUGGUGCUAGACAGAAGCUUAACUUUAUUUCUAAGGCUAUUAACUAAUCAUGUUGUUCAUCCAUGAUGUAUUGAGUCAAAAUUUAACCUAUCUCUCUAGGCUAUUAAAUAUAUAGGUCAGAGCAAUGCAUUACAGAGUAUAUUUUAGCUGAAGCAUUUGGGAUAUUGGAUAUGUUAAUUUCUCUAGUGGAAGAAAUCAAUGGAAGUAACAUUUGUUUCUUUGAGUAGAAAACUUGGUUGGAGGGAAGGCAUAGUUUUGGUUCCAGGUUUGUUUCACUAAAUGCUAGUACAGGAAGUCUUAACUAGUUACAUUCUGACUAUGGGAAGCUCAGGAGCCUUUUUUUCUUCCUAUGUUCUCAAUGAACAUAGUAUAUUUGUCCAUGUACUUCGACGUAUUUAUAACAAAAGCACCGAUAUCUUUUGUUGGAAUCCAACAUGCUGGGAAAAGGUGUACUUUCUUGGUCUGGUUCACACAAACUUAAUAUCGCACCUUGCUUGGACCUUAUUAAUCACAUAACCUUUGUUGUGAUUAUAAAACUUGAAGAAAUAGUUGAUACCUUGUGACACUUAUGGUCUACCAUUUGCAGCGCUGUGUACGCUCCAUGUUCUUGUUUUCUAUCUGUUAUUAGGUUAAGGUAAUUGAACUAAUCUUGGCAAAAGCUUAAAUCUAUCAAAUGUGGAGAUCAGCUGCUAUAAAUUCUCUAUGCCUCUCAUAUGCAACACUAGAGACAAAUGACCAAAGCUUGGGUAAUUUAAUUUCCGAACAAUGUCUUGGUCUUUGUUGUUUGCGUUGAGUUGCUGUUCAAUCAUUAUAUAAACAGUUAACAAGUAAUCUUUUGUUUUUGACAUCAAAUAUCAGCUUCAAGUAGCAAUAUGCCUGUGGAAUGACAUGAUAAGUGGGCAUAUGGAUAGAAUAGACAGGAAGUGAACAUUUUUUGUAUCUUGAUUUUAUGGUUAAUCUUUAUUACAUGCCUAGUAAUUAGUGAAAUCCAUUAUUUAAAUCAAGAUGCAGUUCUAAAGAAAAAAAAAUGAAAAUUUCAAUGUGCCCUAUAUGACAAGAAACAUUAUGUUAAUUUUUUUUUUUUUUUUCAUUUCUUUACUAUUUAACUAUCAGUGCAUGCGGUAUGGUACAGUACAACAAAGAAUAUGUAUUGGUUCGUCAAAUCCUGCUAGUUUGAUCUCUGAUAUGACUUUCUAUUACUUUCUUAUUGAAGUGAACAGCAAAUUAAGUUUCAGUCUGUUUAAUUAAUUUUUAAUUUUUAUUCAUAUAUAGCAAUGGUUUACAAUUUGAAGUUACAAAUAUUGAUUUUGGUUUAAAUAGAACUGAAGGGCCUUGGUUUGUUAAGAAUGUAAAAUAUGUUUUGUUUUAUUUUGUUUGGUUCAGUUUUUGUUUUUCUGCUUGGUGGAUAUUCAUUCUUGUUAUAAUGAUUUGAAGUUAGCAAAGCAAGCAACACGAUCAGAACUAUUCAAAGUCAGAUCUAAGGAUGGAAAGCCCUAUCUUCAUUCCACUACAGGAAAAAAAAAAGGCAGCCCGGUGCACGAAACUCUCGUCAUGCGGGGUCCCGAGAAAGGAUCCAUUGCAAAGCAACUAGGCCACCUCUUUUUGGGAGCUUCCAAAGAUCCAUCUUUCCAUAAACUUUGAAGGUGAGAAUACUGCAAUUCUAUGAAUUGGAUGCAAAAGAAGGCAGGCAAGAAUGUGUAUCAGAAAUAGAUCCAAGAAACUGCAUGAAAUACAAAUGAAGUAGCUUCAAGUGCAAGUGGCAGUCACUGGCCAUGGAUACUAAUAUGCUAAUUUCUACAGAAGAUUCAUAUAGAGAUGAGGAAGAGUGUCACACUGGUUUGAAGAUUAAAUUGUUUUUGAAAGAUCAAGGAGGGUCAAAUAUACAAUAAUGCCCGAUUUGAAGGUAGGGCUCCGACGUGCAUGAUGAUGCGGAGCAAUCAAGUAAUGGUGGUGCUCGUGUGUAUGCCAUUGUGCAGGCUCAUGAUUGUUGUGUCAACUAUGAUUUUAAUCACAAUUUUUUAGUUAAUCAUAAUCUCUUCUUUUACUUAGUUGUCAUGUCAAUUAAUUAUG